GGGGGCGUUCUUGGAUUCGACGGGGAUAGUUCGAGCAUGAGUAGCGGGUAGUGGGGACGCGUCCACUUCAUCAACGCUAAAGCCAAUAAUAACUGGCAAACAACAAAACAACUACGCUCUCGCAGCUUAAUAACCUGCAGACGUGCUCUCGCUCUGCAUCGCCCAUGUGCCGGGAUGAGGGCUCAACUUUAGUGGGAUACGCUGUCUAGUCUCCGCCUGCGGCUAGCUGAAGAAGACAAACAGGCUGACCCGAAGGGAAUCCGGUAACGGGGAGUCUCUAGGGUGACAUCAAAACUGUUACUACACCCGUAGAAGCUUAUGUGGCGUUAUCUUCGGACAGGGGUUCGACUCCCCUCGCCUCCAUAA
rnacentral:tmRNA from 1 species